CAUGGUAAUUUUCUUCUUUUUUCCUCAUGUUGCCCCUAGUUCUUCUUCCAUUUGUGUUUAAGCUGCAGCCUUGUCCACUUUGACAAGAUCCAAAGCCCACCAGAUGAUCGCCGUAGUAGAUGGCUCCAUUUGAUCCACAAAGUCCAACAAGUGGGGACAUCGACCGAAAAUACAAUGGAUUGAGGAUGGCACCAGAGUUGAGAGGCUGUGAAAUAUUCCACCAUAAGAACAUGUCAAAGUGUUCUGGGGGCAGCCCGCAAGUGUCGCCACACUUCCAGCACCAACAUAGCAUGCCCACAACUUCCUAACCCAUACAUCUUUGGAAUGUGGGAGGAAAUCGGAGCACCCAGAGGAAAGCCAUGC